UAAUGUGGUAUGAUGUAGAAUUUAAAUUUACAUAUAUCUAUUUACUAAAAGUCCCUAAUGUCAGUGUGUAAGCUUGGCUUUGGGACUAAAAGAUGUUUAAGAAUAAUUUUUAGCACAAUAAGGGAUACUAUACAGUUGCUUACGACAGUUGUGGUUGUUGCCAUUGGAAUUAUAAUCUUCUGGUUUCUUUUUGCAUUUGAAGUAUUUUAGAACAAGACGUACCAAGGACGAGGACAAAGUGUAAUAAAUUUCGUUUUAUGUAAUUUGUUCAAGAUGGUCUUCUUAUGCAUUCCUCUGAUUGUUGCCGUUAUAAUUGGCGUGGCGAUAUACAAUGUGAUAAAAGAUCACAUUUAACAUAGCGAAGUUUCUUGUAUAAGUCGUCAGUGGAGGUGCCUUUAUCAUAGAAGUAUUAAUCUCAGUAAAUAUGUAAUUUAAUAAAUUUGUAAAAAUAUACAAUAUUAUAUUCAG